rnacentral:sRNA from 1 species
UUCUUGCCCGUCCUGAACUUUGACGUAC